rnacentral:miRNA from 1 species
UUGCCUUUCAUCUCUCUCUCUCUCUCUCUCUCUCUCUCUCUCUCUCUGUGUGUGUGUGUGUCUGAGAGAGAGAGAGAGAGAGAGAGAGAGAGAGGAAUCUGAGUUG